UCUUCCUAUCCUCCUAUUCUCCUAUCCUCCGUAUUCUCUCUCUUUUUUUCUGUCUAUCUUGUUCAUCCUAGCACAAAAUCACCCCAUAAACAAAAUCUUUCACAACCACCGUCACCAUAACCUCCGACGCCGCCAUCUCUAUCUCCUCGUUCUGUACCUCCAUCCGUCGCUGCCACCAUCAUCUUCAUCUCCACCUCCUCGUUCUCUACAUCUGCCAAUAAACUCUGUCUCAACCACUCCUUUUAUCUAUCCUCCUAUAAAAGCUUCUUCUUUUCCAGAUGCAUAUUCAUGGUUAUAGUUAACACCAACCGUAUCUCAGGUUUGUUAUAUGUUCCUUGUUUUGUUUUGAGACUUUUGAAUGAUUAGUGUUGUUUGACAAGAUUGUAACUUGAUUAAAUGGGGAUUUGACUUCAGGGACGGGGAAGAGGAAGUCGUAGUGUCACAACAUUGAUGGGUAUGUCUGAUGCAGUCCAUAUUCAAUAGCCAUUGUUCUCUCUCUGUGUUUGGAAUUUAAUUUUUGAUUUGUUUGUUCUUGUCACAGGAAGAAGCCAGAUAUGAAGAAGCUGUGCUGGUGGAGAUGGAGCCGAACAAGAAGAAGAAAAAGAGAAAGAGGGAGAAGACAGACAUAAGGAAGACGAAGAAGAUGGAAGAGGACGACGGUAACGACAGAACACGCGAUGGGAGGAAGGCAGCGGCGUAGAUUAGGUUUAGUUUUGGUUGGUUUAUUAGGUUUGGUUUAAAUAGGGUUAGUUUAAUAAACCGGGUUUUUGUAUAAACCAAUGUUAAUAAAUAAACUAAUAUUAGUUGUAAACCAAUUCUUUGUAUAGUGAUUUUAAUUAAUAAAUAAAAUUUAAUUUUUAAUUUUUAAUUAUGAAUUAUGAAUUAAUUUUUGAUUUAGUAAUUUGAAUGAUUUAAUAAUGAAUUAUGUUUUGGUUUGGUUUGGUAAUUUGUUUUUAAUAAAUUUUUGAAUAAUUAAAAAAUAAAUUAAUAACACGAAACAUUUGCUAUCCGCAUUCGAAAAAUCCGCUAUCAAAAAUGUCCGACCUAUUAUAUAGGGCACUGUCAGAACGUUUUAGGAAGCACUAUUAUAACAAAUUUAUAGCAUUUAACAGCUGCUAUUAAUAUUCACAAUAGUGAAAAAAAUGAUGGAAGCACUAAAAAGAGGAAGUUUGACGAUGGUGCACAAUCAUCAACCUCUCACGCAACUGAAAGCAAGACUUCUGAAGCUGAUGAAGGCACCAAUCGUCCCCGGGUGUUAAGGCAUCUAAGGCACGUGGUAAGAAGACGACGGUUGAGGGGAAGGGGCUGUCUGAGUUUCAGACAAUGUGGUCCAUUAAACAGCAGGAUCUGGCCAUGAAAAAAGGCUCUCAAGAUGUCUCUGCUUGACAGGCUAAUUACAAAAAAAGAACCACUGUGUGAGUGUGAGGAAGUUCUAAAGAAGAAGCUGAUUAAUGAUUUGUUGUCUGUUUGAGUUUAUGUCAUCAAUGGUUAACUAUUUAAGUUCCUUUAUAUGUUGUUUGUUGUAUUUUCGCUUAGAAAUUUAAGUUUCUGUUUGUGUUUGUUGUUCUGGUCAUGUAAUGGAUUUUCUGUAUUUCGGAAGUAUUAAAGUUCAACUUUGUGUUUCUUGUUGUUGUUCUCUUCAAAGUGUCUUUCGUGUUUGAUUUCAAGUUUGUUUUUCUUGUUCUUGUUCUCUUCUUUGGAUGGUGGCUAAACUUGUGUAUGUUGCUCUGAUUUUCAGGUUGGACAAUCAACAUACGCAGAGAGCUUUCAGUUUGGACACAAGACCGAACAAGCUUCUUGUUCUUGUUCUGAUGAUGGGGUGAGAGUUGCCAAAGAUGAGAAAGCAUCUGCACUUCGUCGAUGUCACCUUCAUACAUGUUCAGCCUUCUCUCUAUCUCUUUUCCAAUAUAUGUUUUGGAGUAAUUCUAAAAGUCAGAUUGGUGAAAACUAGUUAGGGUGAUGCUGACGAGUAUUUGGAUGUUAGUCAUUCGUAGGAAGAAAUAAAUCAUUGAAGCUGUCAUUAUAUUUAUGUGAAAAUAGAUUCGACAUUUUCGAAUGGAUAAUGAAAGUAGAGAGUCAUCAAAGUGAAUGAGCAACAAAAAACACUAAAACUCAACAAUGCUUAUUAUUGGUAUAUAUAUGUUUUUCUGUGAGUUAGGAAGCAUCGAUUGUAUGCAUUGGGAAUGGAAGAAUUGUCCCACCGCUUGGAAAGGGCAUUAUUCUCUCGGUUCUGGAAAACCCACAAUCGUUUUAGAGGCGGUUACUUCAUAUGAUCUCUGGAUAUGGCAUGCGUUUUUUGGACCUCUAAGUACCUUAAAUGAUAUCAAUGUUCUUGAUCGUUCACCUAUUUUUGAUGACAUAAUAAAUGGUCAAGUUCCGCAAGUGAAUUUCUCGGUCAACUGAAGAGAGUAUCAUUUGGCUUACUAUCUCACUGAUGGUAUUUAUCCGAAAUGAGUAACUUUUAUCCAAUCUAUUCCAAUUCCACAAGGCCCGCAAGCAGUUUUAUUUGCUCAACGUCAAGAAGCUGUCCGAAAAGAUGUCGAGCGUGCUUUCGGAGUCUUGCAAGCUCGAUUUUCCAUUGUUAAAAAUCCAGCACUUUUUUGACAUCCAACACUUAUAAAAAAAUUUCAUAAUUAACAUUUGUAGAAAUUAAUAGCUAAAGCAAUAGUAUAUUACUUUAAAAAUGAUUUUAACAUGUUUUUUCAAACUUAAUCUCAUACCUUAUAUCUAAUCUAAAACUAUAUACUUAAUUCAAAUUUCCAAACCCAUUAUUCUUUACCCUAAACUCUAUUCAAAAUUAAAUUAUUUUAGUAUUUUAGUCAAUCACACAACCACAAAAAAAAAAUUUUGCUAGUCAUCUCGAAUCCUUGUAUGUUUUAGAUCUUUAAUGGAAAAACAUAUGUUAUCUUAUGAUUGUUUUUUGUUAACUCCAAACCCUAUCCUAAAAAUAAAAUAUUUUACUUCAAACCCUAAGUAUUAAACCACAAAUUAUAAAUCUAAAGUUUAAAAGUCUAAUCUUUUAAAAAUUUAUCCUCGAAUUUCACUAUAAAUCCCAAAGCCCACAACCCAUAAAUUAGAAACCACAAAACAUAAUUUUUAAAACUCCUAAACUCUAAAUCCUAAACUACAAAUACAAACCUUAUUCUAAACCCUAAGUGUAUAUUACUUUCAAAUACAUUUUUUUGAAAUCUAAAAAUUAAAAUCCAAAUUUACUCUUCCAAACUUUAACUUCAAAUUUUUAUUUUUAACCAUAAACUAUACUUCAUAAACCUCAACCUUUUUUACCUUAUUUAUAAACCUACAUAUAUCAUAAAUUUAGUCUCUAAUUCUUUUUUUUUAAAUUACAAACUUAAAAAAUAACUCUAUUUUGUAAACCCUAAAUUCCAUUUACUACAAAUAUGUGUGGCUUUGUGUAUUAAAAAGGAAAAAAAAAUAGAAAAAUCUGAUUGGUCAAAAAGUGACCACUAAGAUGCAAGUUUGAGGAUCACACUUUCUUUUAACCACAGCCAAUAGAUCAAACUAAAUCCAAUAUGGCCAAUAAUGAACAAAAUGAAAAUUUGUUUCUUCCUAUCCUCCUAUUCUCCUAUCCUCCGUAUUCUCUCUCUUUUUUUCUGUCUAUCUUGUUCAUCCUAGCACAAAAUCACCCCAUAAACAAAAUCUUUCACAACCACCGUCACCAUAACCUCCGACGCCGCCAUCUCUAUCUCCUCGUUCUGUACCUCCAUCCGUCGCUGCCACCAUCAUCUUCAUCUCCACCUCCUCGUUCUCUACAUCUGCCAAUAAACUCUGUCUCAACCACUCCUUUUAUCUAUCCUCCUAUAAAAGCUUCUUCUUUUCCAGAUGCAUAUUCAUGGUUAUAGUUAACACCAACCGUAUCUCAG
rnacentral:lncRNA from 1 species